AGUGAACGCUGGCGGUAGGCCUAACACAUGCAAGUCGAACGGCAGCACAGGAGAGCUUGCUCUCUGGGUGGCGAGUGGCGGACGGGUGAGGAAUACAUCGGAAUCUACUCUGUCGUGGGGGAUAACGUAGGGAAACUUACGCUAAUACCGCAUACGACCUACGGGUGAAAGCAGGGGAUCUUCGGACCUUGCGCGAUUGAAUGAGCCGAUGUCGGAUUAGCUAGUUGGCGGGGUAAAGGCCCACCAAGGCGACGAUCCGUAGCCGGUCUGAGAGGAUGAUCAGCCACACUGGAACUGAGACACGGUCCAGACUCCUACGGGAGGCAGCAGUGGGGAAUAUUGGACAAUGGGCGCAAGCCUGAUCCAGCCAUACUGCGUGGGUGAAGGAGGCCUUCGGGUUGUAAAGCCCUUUUGUUGGGAAAGAAAUCCAGCUGGCUAAUACCCGGUUGGGAUGACGGUACCCAAAGAAUAAGCACCGGCUAACUUCGUGCCAGCCGCCGCGGUAA
rnacentral:rRNA from 1 species